rnacentral:rRNA from 1 species
UACGAAGGGGCGUAGCGUUGCUCGGAAUCACUGGGCGUAAAGGGCGCGUAGGCGGACUUUUAAGUCAGGGGUGAAAAUCCUGAGGCUCAACCUCAGAACUGCCUUUGAUACUGAGGGUCUCGAGACCGGUAGAGGUAAGUGGAACUGCGAGUGUAGAGGUGAAAUUCGUAGAUAUUCGCAAGAACACCCAGUGGCGAAGGCGGACUUACUGGACCGGUUCUGGACGCUGAGGCGCGAAAGCGUGGGGAGCAAACAGG